rnacentral:misc_RNA from 1 species
AGCAGAAGAGUUGUCAGUUGCUGUGUUUGUUCAGUGAGUUACUAAGUGAUAUUUGAAGAUGCCUAGGCCGUCUAGGGACUCCUAUGGCGACCAGAAGCCUCCGUACUCUUAUAUAUCGUUAACUGCGAUGGCUAUAUGGAAUUCACCCGAAAAAAUGCUACCCUUAUCAGAAAUAUACAAAUUUAUCACCGACAGAUUUCCAUACUACAGAAAAAACACACAGAGGUGGCAGAAUUCCUUGAGGCACAACUUAUCUUUCAACGACUGCUUUAUAAAAAUACCUAGACAACCAGAUAGGCCUGGAAAAGGAGCUUAUUGGGCACUACAUCCUGCUGCUUUUGAUAUGUUCGUGAAUGGUAGCUUACUGCGGCGAAGAAAGCGCUUCAAGUUGUUAAAAAGUGACAAGGAAAUACUGGAAAAUGAGCUAGCAGCCCUUACUAAUAUAAAUAGGAUAUUCUUUUCACCACCGAAUGGUCCUGUGGACGUGAAUCCUGCAGCUCAUCCGACGGUAGUAGCCCCUCAGCCUUCUCCGCCGAUUAUCACGAAGACGCCUGAGACAGCAGUCACCUGCAUAAGGCCGAAAAGGUCUUUUACUAUAGAAAGCUUAAUCUCUCCAGACAAGCCUACGCCUGUGGUUCCUAGUGCUACACACAUAGUACCCCACGUUCAUCCCUGGAUGUUAUCCACGUACGACCUAUCGUUUACUAAUCCCAUCCCCUUAAUGCCUCCUGCAGCUCAUUACGAGGCCUAUGGACUAGCUUCUGCUGAAGAACUAUUUAGAGUUUCGCAGUUAUAAGAAUUUAAGUGAUUUUGUAUAGAAGAGUUUAGGAGAUGUUUGGAAGGAAGCUGUAACUCUGUGGGAGUUCUAAGACUGAGUUGACUGUUGUAAAAAGUGAAAUAGUUUUCUUCCAUAAGCUACGAACGCUGCUUCAUUAAUUUAUUGUAUAUAUAAAAGGUACCUACAGUUCCUGAAUGCGAUAUGUAUAUAUUUCUAGAAAUAAAUAAAUGUGAUAAUAUUGUGUAAGAUGUAGAAGUACAUGAGAGAAAUUAAAUUCCAAAAAUAUGGCUAAUAACAGUAUGUCUAUUCCCACAAUCUAUCUACGAAAGUUGUGUGCACUUAUGUAAAUAAGGGAUCAUUCCAUAAAACAGGUAGAUCCCUUGUUUAUGGAAUUUCGCACCUCCAACAAUAGCACCUCGCUGAGCUGAAUAUUAAUAAGUCUCUUAGAUAGAUUGUAGUACUAUACAGAAUAUAUUCUUUAUUUAGUAUAUUAGAUUAUAAACUGAAAAGUAGGAAAAAGCAAGUAAUCAUACGAUCUAAAAGAUCUUGUCAAAUUAUACGAACUUUUAAUAUUAUUCUUGAUAUUCCUAUACAUCGAGUAGAGAGAGGUACCUACAUGAAGCAUUAAGAAAAUUAAAAAAUAGAAAAUUUCCAGGAGAGGACAGAAUAUCGAUCGAACUUCUAAAGUAUUAUAAUAAUGAUAAUGGACUAACGCAUAAUGAAUAUGUUGAUAGUUUGGCUAAAAAAGCUAUUGAAUAUGGUACUUCACAUAUUCGUAAGUUUUGCAUAUCUGACUUAGUUAACACUAUUAAGCAUCGAGUUAAAAAUCAGUGGAGUCAAUCAUGGCGAGAUCUUUGUAAACAAUCCAAAUCUCAGUA